rnacentral:rRNA from 1 species
AUAACUGCAGACGGUGGAUCGCUCG